UGCGGGGUAGAGUAGUGGCAACUCAGUGGUCUCAUAAGCCAUUUGGCGAAAGCCUUUCGUGGGUUCGAAUCCCACCCCCGCUACCA
rnacentral:tRNA from 1 species